rnacentral:tRNA from 1 species
GCUCGAGUGGCGGAAUUGGCAGACGCACAGGACUUAAAAUCCUGCGGGGGCGACCCCAUACCGGUUCAAGUCCGGUCUCGAGCA